AGACCGUAUAGCGUACGCUUUAUCUGUGACGUAUGUAACACGGUCCACUAACCCUCAGUAUCAAAUCCGUCCUCGAGGC
rnacentral:miRNA from 1 species